UUAAGCGACUAAGCGUACACGGUGGAUGCCCUGGCAGUCAGAGGCGAUGAAGGACGUGCUAAUCUGCGAUAAGCGUCGGUAAGGUGAUAUGAACCGUUAUAACCGGCGAUUUCCGAAUGGGGAAACCCAGUGUGAUUCGUCACACUAUCAUUAACUGAAUCCAUAGGUUAAUGAGGCGAACCGGGGGAACUGAAACAUCUAAGUACCCCGAGGAAAAGAAAUCAACCGAGAUUCCCCCAGUAGCGGCGAGCGAACGGGGAGCAGCCCAGAGCCUGAAUCAGUGUGUGUGUUAGUGGAAGCGUCUGGAAAGGCGCGCGAUACAGGGUGACAGCCCCGUACACAAAAAUGCACAUGCUGUGAGCUCGAUGAGUAGGGCGGGACACGUGGUAUCCUGUCUGAAUAUGGGGGGACCAUCCUCCAAGGCUAAAUACUCCUGACUGACCGAUAGUGAACCAGUACCGUGAGGGAAAGGCGAAAAGAACCCCGGCGAGGGGAGUGAAAAAGAACCUGAAACCGUGUACGUACAAGCAGUGGGAGCACGCUUAGGCGUGUGACUGCGUACCUUUUGUAUAAUGGGUCAGCGACUUAUAUUCUGUAGCAAGGUUAACCGAAUAGGGGAGCCGAAGGGAAACCGAGUCUUAACUGGGCGUUAAGUUGCAGGGUAUAGACCCGAAACCCGGUGAUCUAGCCAUGGGCAGGUUGAAGGUUGGGUAACACUAACUGGAGGACCGAACCGACUAAUGUUGAAAAAUUAGCGGAUGACUUGUGGCUGGGGGUGAAAGGCCAAUCAAACCGGGAGAUAGCUGGUUCUCCCCGAAAGCUAUUUAGGUAGCGCCUCGUGAAUUCAUCUCCGGGGGUAGAGCACUGUUUCGGCAAGGGGGUCAUCCCGACUUACCAACCCGAUGCAAACUGCGAAUACCGGAGAAUGUUAUCACGGGAGACACACGGCGGGUGCUAACGUCCGUCGUGAAGAGGGAAACAACCCAGACCGCCAGCUAAGGUCCCAAAGUCAUGGUUAAGUGGGAAACGAUGUGGGAAGGCCCAGACAGCCAGGAUGUUGGCUUAGAAGCAGCCAUCAUUUAAAGAAAGCGUAAUAGCUCACUGGUCGAGUCGGCCUGCGCGGAAGAUGUAACGGGGCUAAACCAUGCACCGAAGCUGCGGCAGCG
rnacentral:rRNA from 1 species